rnacentral:rRNA from 1 species
GGGCUUGACAUCCCACGAACCUGCCUGAAAGGGCGGGGUGCCCGCAAGGGAGCGUGGAGACAGGUGGUGCAUGGCUGUCGUCAGCUCGUGUCGUGAGAUGUUGGGUUAAGUCCCGCAACGAGCGCAACCCUCACCCCUAGUUGCCACCGGGUAAUGCCGAGCACUCGAGGGGAACUGCCAGCGUCAAGCUGGAGGAAGGCGGGGAUGACGUCAAGUCAUCAUGCCCCUUACGCCCUGGGCUACACACGUGCUACAAUGGCCGGUACAAAGGGACGCAAGACCGCGAGGUGGAGCUAAUCCCAAAAAGCCGGUCUAAGUUCAGAUUGCAGUCUGCAACUCGACUGCAUGAAGGAGGAAUCGCUAGUAAUCGCGCAUCAGCCCGGCGCGGUGAAUACGUUCCCGGGCCUUGUACACACCGCCCGUCACACCACGAAAGCUGUCUGUACUCGAAGUCGCUGAGA